GACGAACGCUGGCGGCGUGCUUAACACAUGCAAGUCGAACGGAAAGGCCCUGCUUUUGUGGGGUGCUCGAGUGGCGAACGGGUGAGUAACACGUGAGUAACCUGCCCUUUACUUUGGGAUAACUUCAGGAAACUGGGGCUAAUACCGGAUAGGAGCUCCUGCUGCAUGGUGGUGGUUGGAAAGUUUCGGCGGUUGGGGAUGGACUCGCGGCUUAUCAGCUUGUUGGUGGGGUAGUGGCUUACCAAGGCUUUGACGGGUAGCCGGCCUGAGAGGGUGACCGGCCACAUUGGGACUGAGAUACGGCCCAGACUCCUACGGGAGGCAGCAGUGGGGAAUAUUGCACAAUGGGCGGAAGCCUGAUGCAGCAACGCCGCGUGCGGGAUGACGGCCUUCGGGUUGUAAACCGCUUUCGCCUGUGACGAAGCGUGAGUGACGGUAAUGGGUAAAGAAGCACCGGCUAACUACGUG
rnacentral:rRNA from 1 species